rnacentral:tRNA from 1 species
AAAACUAUAGGUUAAUAGAGACCGUUGGCCUUCAAAGCCGAAAGAGGAAUAGGUCCCUGGUUUUG